GCCACACACACAACCCACACCCCUAUUAGGCACUUAUUGUUUAAAUGGUAGCAUGGUAGCAUCUUAUCCUAGCAGUCUGUUGUGUACGGGGAAUGGGUUAACCUAGUGAUAGUUAGUGCUUGGCACUUGGUUCUAUGAACAUCCUUACUGUACCGGCAGAGAUAUGUUGUUGUUUCUCUUUCUUCUGACAAAUGUACUUAUUGUGAGUCGCUUUGGAUGAAAGCAUCUGCUCAAUGCCCUAAACGUCGAUGUAAAUUCAAAUGAUAUUAACCAAAGGCUUAUCUUACGUUAUGAACCAGCCUUGUUUGUGUUUAGUGCCCGGGCUCUGCACGCUGCACUGAGAACGCUGCAGGCAUCCCCCCCAUACCCACAGACGAACCGCAGAGAGCUGCUUCACUGCCGCUGAGGCAUUGGGAUAACGCGUCUGGCGAACAGGGGAGAGCCCGGCGGGAGACCCACGACCCCGCAGGGCCUCUGCGGUACUGGGGGACACCUCCCAACGGAUUCCCCCCCAGACGGGUCGGUCGUUGGCACACAUCGGCCGCUGGCCGUGCUGUUGUCACAAUACCAAAGCUGACCAAAACAAUGCUUUGUUUGUUCCUCUCUUUGCUUUUACAACAAACAAAUAAUACAGGAUGGUGGGUAACUGAUCUGAGUCUCUGGCUGCUGGGGGCGGCCCACACACCUCUCUGACAUUUCUUGCCUCACCAAAAACAAACUCAGACUUACAAAAGUGAUGCCGGGACAGAAAGCUCAACCGCCCUGGUGUUGUUGUGGUUUUAGCGUGAAAUGUGUUUGUUUUGGUUUGGUUCUGUUUCUGUGGGUUUAUGGAGGCAGGGGACACUCGACUUCAUGAAGUAAUCAUUCCGGCGUUCGAACGCGGAGCUGGCCAACACCGCCAGAUGAAUAUGAGUUAUUCAUACCUCAGCUCACGGCUUCAUCUGCAAACCUCCUUCUCCUGUUCCGCCCUCCGGGCAUACAAACAGCGAGGCUAACAUCUGAACACCACAACGAGCGUCCACCUCACUGCUGCGACGAUAUCACUGAGAGUUACAAGUGCAGAGGCAUGUCCCAAACAAACCAAGGCAAGGACUGUACAAGGGCCGCCGUCAAGGGGCGGGGUCACGUCAGGUGACCUACAAACAUAAAAACAUGGCCGCCCACCGUAACUCACAGAGGGGAAGCCUCCUAAGAGACCCACGGUGAUAUCCCCCCAGCCACUCAGAGCCUGGACGUCAUGUUCAUUUUACAUCAGCCUUCACGUUGGGGGGAAUUGUAGAGGGAUGAUCCCUUCAAUUAUUCAUUAAAAACAAAAGCUACCGGCGUACCCACAGCUCUGCUCCGCCCCGUGACAGAGGAGUAGGGACCCUCUCACUAAUGCCCACCGCCCGCUAUACACAGACAGGGGUCGGUGGGGGGCUGCAUCAUGACCAUUAAUAUAAUCUCAGUGAUGAGGAGACGUCAAAGGUCUGCAGCGGGGUGGGUAGGAUGGCGGACGGAAGGAGAAGGACGUCCAUGUUUACGAGAAAGAAAAGCUCAGAAAUUGAUUUGUGAUUUUUUUUCUGAAUUUCUGAAUAACCUCGUAUUACAUGUUGGUGAACGGACUGGGAGAAGGUUUGACAGUAUCUCACUUCGUACCUCGGCGGGUGAUUAAAUGAUCACACUCUUUAUGCAACCGUUUUGAUGUAAGGGAGAAAUAAACGCUGACACGAAAAAGGACGUACCCCGAGACAAACAACAGAAGCAAAAGGAAACCCUUCAGUUGUGAAAAGGGUGCAACACACAGGCCACGACGCACACACACACACACACACACCUCCACACAGCUCCGCUUUCAAGCACUCUGUUGCCUUCCAUGCAUUGUCUGGUUAAUGGCCCCAGACGUGGUCAUUCGAGCCGUCCACCAGCGCUCAUAAUGUAUCUCUGUUGGCCGGUCAGUGAUGCUCCGAGCCCUGGCUCUGCCUGAGGCGGUGAACAGAACACUGCCCACACCACCACAGUGCUGCAGCUAUGCAAGGAUUCAAGUUAUUCCGUUUAUUCAGAAAAUGCAACUGUUGUUGGUCGAUCCAAACAUUGAAUGAUGUGAAUGUCCAUGGGACUCGAAUAGGGCCUAUUGUGUUUUGUGUGUUUCACCCUGAGCAAUCCCAUUAUUUUAAUAACCAUUAGGUGGGUAACACUGCCUCUAUUAUAUGAUUAUUCAAAUCUUUAAUGCUUUUUCACGGAAGACUGCAAGGUGGAAUGGUAGACAUAAACUAGACAGGCGUUUGAGUGGAUUUAGUCAGGGUUAAAGUGAUAAGCGCAGUGAGUAAAGAUGAUCAUUAUUACAGUCUUCAAAAAGAGUCUUUGUGCACUGUGUGGAGAACAGUGAAACUAUGGUUAGCAAUGCAUGCUGUAGGCAGCGAAAUCGCCCUUGGGUUGAUUGCAAUGGUUGCGCAAUACACACACACACACACACACACACACACACACACACACACACACACACACACACACACACACACACACACACACACACACACACACACACACGGCUGUCUUGUUGUGGAUUGGCUGCACGGCUCUCUACUGAAACAGUCAUAAAUCCUCGGUCCCGUUGCUUUUCAUAUUUCACUUUUUCCUUCAUGCAUGUCCUGCACGCGUCAAAUCACCGGAAGACAGUCACGCACUCCAGACCCCUAAAAACAAUCUAUUUUUUAUUUUGUAUCUAACAUUUCUUGAAUUUCACCGGAGUUCACAUGACUUCCUACUUCAGUGGUGUCACAACACGGCUACCACCCUUCUGCCUCGGACCAGAAACGCUACGUCCACAGAUCUACUGCUGGGGUGGGCGCUCAGGACCCCGCUGUGAUUUGCCUAACGCAGGGCGAGCAGGAAGCUGUUAUCAAUGCGGGUUGACAGGAAAACCUUGUGCUCUCCUCACUUGGCUGUUGAGCAAAAGAG
ensembl:lncRNA